UCGUGUCGUGAGAUGUUGGGUUAAGUCCCGUAACGAGCGCAACCCUUGUCUUAGUUACCAGCACGUUAUGGUGGGCGACUCUAAGGAGACUGCCGGUGACAAACCGGAGGAAGGUGGGGAUGACGUCAAGUCAUCAUGGCCCUUACGGCCUGGGCUACACACGUGCUACAAUGGUCGGUACAAAGGGUUGCCAAGCCGCGAGGUGGAGCUAAUCCCAUAAGACCGAUCGUAGUCCGGAUCGCAGUCUGCAACUCGACUGCGUGAAGUCGGAAUCGCUAGUAAUCGUGAAUCAGAAUGUCACGGUGAAUACGUUCCCGGGCCUU
rnacentral:rRNA from 1 species